GACGAACGCUGGCGGCGUGCCUAAUACAUGCAAGUUGAGCGCUGAAGGUUGGUACUUGUACCAACUGGAUGAGCAGCGAACGGGUGAGUAACGCGUGGGGAAUCUGCCUUUGAGCGGGGGACAACAUUUGGAAACGAAUGCUAAUACCGCAUAAAAACUUUAAACACAAGUUUUAAGUUUGAAAGAUGCAAUUGCAUCACUCAAAGAUGAUCCCGCGUUGUAUUAGCUAGUUGGUGAGGUAAAGGCUCACCAAGGCGAUGAUACAUAGCCGACCUGAGAGGGUGGUCGGCCACAAUGGGACUGAGACACGGCCCAAACUCCUACGGGAGGCAGCAGUAGGGAAUCUUCGGCAAUGGACGAAAGUCUGACCGAGCAACGCCGCGUGGGUGAAGAAGGUUUUCGGAUCGUAAAACUCUGUUGGUAGAGAAGAACGUUGGUGAGAGUGGAAAGCUCAUCAAGUGACGGUAACUACCCAGAAAGGGACGGCUAACUACGUG
rnacentral:rRNA from 1 species